ACCGCCCUCAGAUGGGGUGGGCAGAGGAUGCUCGUGCCUGGCUGUGUUCCCUGGCUUGGUACCUAAUUCCUGGUGGCACCAGGCAGGGGCUGAAGGAGGGGGAUUAUUCACUGCUCAGCUCCCAACACCAGAGCCAGCACUUUAGAGUGCUUUCAUCCCUGAAAGCUUCGGCGGGGAAGAAAGGAGAGUGGACUGAUCCCCAACAGCACCGGGUUCAUCCCACCUUUGUGCUCUUUUCCCCCUGGCAAGGAUGAGGAUCUCACCAGCAGCUCCCUGGACCAACACCAGAGCAGCAGGGGACGGGGCAGGAUCUGACAGCGGGCUCAGCCUCCUGCAAGCUGCACUGAAGACCAGGGAUUUCAAACCAGCUUUUCCUUCAGCAACACCUCCUGACAGGAGGUUGCACUCAGCUCUCUGAUACAAAGCCUGGUUCCAUUCCCAGCAAACCAAACCUGAACGCAGCCUCUUCCCUCCUGCCCUGCCUCGGGAGCGACUGGGAACGACUCUCCCAGGAAGAGCAGAGGUUUUCCUCCAGAAGGAAGAAACCUUUCCACGCACGAGCGGCCCCCUCCUGCAGGGAACUCCAGCUUUGGGGGCAGCUUUUUGGAGCAAGGAGGGGAGGA